rnacentral:lncRNA from 1 species
GCCAACAUGAUCCUUUAAAAACUCAAAAUAUAGGCCGACAAGGCCGUACAAUCUUUUAUGUACACAACAUAUGUCUACAAGCCUCUAAGAGUACGUAAAUGUCAUAAAGGUUGGGAUAGAAUCCCGCCAUACCAAACAAUACACGUCUAAAUGAUACUAACCAAACGAGCAACUCUGAAGCAAAUGGAGCGCACCAACAUCUUCCGCUGAGCUGAUAGCCUACUUGGAGGACUCUCGACCUGUCUAUCGGGACCCGCGGGCAUGAAAUGCAGCAUCCCCAGGCAAAAGGGACGUCAGUACGAAUAAUGUACCGAGUAUUUAAGGCACAUAAAUUAAUACAUAAGAGACAUGGAAGAAAUAUAUAGCACAUGACUCAACCUGUAAGUCUGAAUAACUUUAUAAAUCAUAAAUUACUUUUAGCGUCAUACAUAUGUGUAUGAAUGUCUUGUCGUGCAUAGGUACAUGUUUCAUAAUAUCAUCAGCCUCUGAGGGCAUCCCAUCAUAUCAUAUCAGCCACUGUGGUCAAAAUCAUCAUCGUAUACCAGUUCAUCAGGUGGUGGUGCAUAUAUAACGCGUUAACCUUUCCCAUAUCCCAUACACAUACAUAUAUAAUGCCGUUUGAAUCAUAUUUCAGCCAAUAGGGGCAACAUCAUCAUCAUAUACCAGCUUAUCAGGUGGUGGAGCGUAUAUAACGCCGUAACCUUUUCCCAUAUCCCAUAUACAUAUAUUUACAUAUAAACGCGUAUAUAACGCCAUCUGGUCAUGGGUCAAUGCACAUGUAUGAAAUGCAUGAAAAAUACAUAAUAAUCUCAAUAUUCUUUCCAGAUAAAUUUUUCCAAUUGCGUAUUAUUCUGAGACCCAUGAGCAGAAGAUAAUAAUAUGUUUCAUGGGGAAUCAAGAAUAUAGACACCCCUACUAUUUCUAUGAAUAGAGUAAUUUAUGGAAACUGUGAGUUUGCUCGUUUCUUUAGUAUCAUAUGGACAAUGCCAAAAGAAUGAAGGGAGGGCCUUAACAUACCUAUUCCUGGAAUUAUUUGAACGGAAUGAAGCUUCUGCUUCCGUGAAAUAUGUUGAACGAAAUUCUGACUGAAUCCCUUGAAAUUGAGAGUAAAACGUUUCUGGUUCUUUGAGUUUUAGAAGGAAUAACGUUUGGAUUCCUUAUGAUUCACAUUGGAUUUGAAUGUUGGACAAAAUGAUCUGCUUCUAACGUUUUUGGUUUGAAUCCAAAGUCAGAAUGUGGUUUCCUAAUGAAUGGCUUACUAAGUUUCCAAAAAAAUGAUC